rnacentral:sRNA from 21 species
GUCCCUAUGAUACAAUAAACCUCGUAACAAAGUAAAAAACGGUAGUCGUAGCCUUAUGUCUGGAGGUGGUGCUUAUGUAUGUAAGUCACAGAAACCAAAAGAAAGGAGACGACAAGGUUUGUCAGUUUAUGAAACGCUUACUUUGAUGAUUGCUUUUGGUACUCUGAUAGUAGCUAUCAUGAAUAACAA